CGGUCCAGACUCCUACGGGAGGCAGCAGUGGGGAAUAUUGCACAAUGGGCGCAAGCCUGAUGCAGCCAUGCCGCGUGUGUGAAGAAGGCCUUCGGGUUGUAAAGCACUUUCAGCGGGGAGGAAGGCGUUAAGGUUAAUAACCUUGGCGAUUGACGUUACCCGCAGAAGAAGCACCGGCUAACUCCGUGCCAGCAGCCGCGGUAAUACGGAGGGUGCAAGCGUUAAUCGGAAUUACUGGGCGUAAAGCGCACGCAGGCGGUCUGUCAAGUCGGAUGUGAAAUCCCCGGGCUCAACCUGGGAACUGCAUUCGAAACUGGCAGGCUAGAGUCUUGUAGAGGGGGGUAGAAUUCCAGGUGUAGCGGUGAAAUGCGUAGAGAUCUGGAGGAAUACCGGUGGCGAAGGCGGCCCCCUGGACAAAGACUGACGCUCAGGUGCGAAAGCGUGGGGAGCAAACAGGAUUAGAUACCCUGGUAGUCCACGCCGUAAACGAUGUCGAUUUGGAGGUUGUGCCCUUGAGGCGUGGCUUCCGGAGCUAACGCGUUAAAUCGACCGCCUGGGGAGUACGGCCGCAAGGUUAAAACUCAAAUGAAUUGACGGGGGCCCGCACAAGCGGUGGAGCAUGUGGUUUAAUUCGAUGCAACGCGAAGAACCUUACCUGGUCUUGACAUCCACAGAACUUUCCAGAGAUGGAUUGGUGCCUUCGGGAACUGUGAGACAGGUGCUGCAUGGCUGUCGUCAGCUCGUGUUGUGAAAUGUUGGGUUAAGUCCCGCAACGAGCGCAACCCUUAUCCUUUGUUGCCAGCGGUCCGGCCGGGAACUCAAAGGAGACUGCCAGUGAUAAACUGGAGGAAGGUGGGGAUGACGUCAAGUCAUCAUGGCCCUUACGACCAGGGCUACACACGUGCUACAAUGGCAUAUACAAAGAGAAGCGACCUCGCGAGAGCAAGCGGACCUCAUAAAGUAUGUCGUAGUCCGGAUUGGAGUCUGCAACUCGACUCCAUGAAGUCGGAAUCGCUAGUAAUCGUAGAUCAGAAUGCUACGGUGAAUACGUUCCCGGGCCUUGUACACACCGCCCGUCACACCAUGGGAGUGGGUUGCAAAAGAAGUAGGUAGCUUAACCUUCGGGAGGGCGCUUACCACUUUGUGAUUCAUGACUGGGGUGAAGUCGUAACAAGGUAACCGUAGGGGAACCUGCGGUUGGAUCACCUCCUUA
rnacentral:rRNA from 1 species